rnacentral:rRNA from 1 species
CAGCCGCCGCGGUAAUACGGAGGAUGCAAGCGUUAUCCGGAUUCAUUGGGCGUAAAGGGUCCUGAGGUGGCCUGCUUAGUCUACUGUGAAAGCUCAGGGCUUAACCCUGACAAUGCGGUGGAAACUAGCAGGCUAGAAUACGGUAGGGGCAGGGGGAAUUCCCGGUGUAGCGGUGAAGUGCAUAGAUAUCGGGAGGAACACCAAAGGCGAAGGCACCCUGCUGGGCCGAUAUUGACACUGACAGACGAAAGCUAGGGGAGCAAAGAGGAUUAGAUACCCCUGUAGUCCCUGUCUCUUAUAC